rnacentral:rRNA from 1 species
GAUCCUGGCUCAGAUUGAACGCUGGCGGAAUGCUUUACACAUGCAAGUCGAACGGUAGAGGGGGCAACCCUUGAGAGUGGCGAACGGGUGAGUAAUAUAUCGGAACGUGCCCAGUCGUGGGGGAUAACGUAGCGAAAGUUACGCUAAUACCGCAUACGAUCUAAGGAUGAAAGCGGGGGGACUCGCAAGAGCCUCGCGCGAUUGGAGCGGCCGAUAUCAGAUUAGGUAGUUGGUGGGGUAAAGGCUCACCAAGCCAACGAUCUGUAGCUGGUCUGAGAGGACGACCAGCCACACUGGAACUGAGACACGGUCCAGACUCCUACGGGAGGCAGCAGUGGGGAAUUUUGGACAAUGGACGCAAGUCUGAUCCAGCCAUUCCGCGUGCAGGAUGAAGGCCCUCGGGUUGUAAACUGCUUUUGUACGGAACGAAAAGGUUUCUAUUAAUACUAGGAGCUCAUGACGGUACCGUAAGAAUAAGCACCGGCUAACUACGUG